UCCACGUCGUUUAUUACCAGCGUCCCGUCGACGUCGUUGGGGAUCGAACCGAGUACGUUGUUGGAUCAAUCGACAGUGCUUGGCACUGAUCGACACCAAAGACAGCGAGCGACAGCACGCCGAGGUCGCCGAGCCGAGCAUUAGAGGGUAGAUAAGGGAGGAUCUAGGAGGAUCCAUUGCGUUGGACCGGACCGGACGAGCCGAGCUUUAACCCUCGUUUCCUCCCCUCCGGUUAAAGCGUCGAGGAUGGCCGAUGUCAAACAAGAUCACAAGGGCGAGGACGUUGACAGCUAUGGAAUGGGCAACAGCGCCGACCCGAAGAACAUGCAGGAGCUGACGCAAUACGUGCAAACGCUGUUGCAGAACAUGCAGGACAAGUUUCAAACCAUGUCUGACCAGAUCAUAGGAAGAAUAGAUGAAAUGGGUAACAGAAUAGACGACUUGGAGAAGAAUAUCGCAGACCUAAUGACACAAGCAGGAGUCGAAGGAGGUGAUAAAUAAGCUCAUUCUUUCUUCAAUGCACUCGUCUAUAAGUAUAACGACUUAUCUAAAGUAUCGCUAUACUUUAUCAUCAUGGAAAAAAAUUGUAUACUGAUAAUAACUGAGAUAUCGACUAAACCGAUAUAACAAUUAGGUUACUCAACUUCAGUGGAAUGCGGGUUACAUUGAUUCUUAUAUUAUUUUUAAUGAAGUUUCUCUUAUCUUUUUAAAACAAUGUUGGGCAU